AACGAACGCUGGCGGCAGGCUUAACACAUGCAAGUCGAGCGCCCCGCAAGGGGAGCGGCAGACGGGUGAGUAACGUGUGGGAACGUACCUUUUGGUUCGGAACAACUCCGGGAAACUGGAGCUAAUACCGGAUAAGCCCUAACGGGGAAAGAUUUAUCGCCGAAAGAUCGGCCCGCGUCUGAUUAGCUAGUUGGUGAGGUAACGGCUCACCAAGGCGACGAUCAGUAGCUGGUCUGAGAGGAUGAUCAGCCACACUGGGACUGAGACACGGCCCAGACUCCUACGGGAGGCAGCAGUGGGGAAUAUUGGACAAUGGGCGCAAGCCUGAUCCAGCCAUGCCGCGUGAGUGAUGAAGGCCUUAGGGUUGUAAAGCUCUUUUGUCCGGGAAGAUAAUGACUGUACCGGAAGAAUAAGCCCCGGCUAACUUCGUG
rnacentral:rRNA from 1 species